UGGGGAAUAUUGGACAAUGGGCGCAAGCCUGAUCUAGCCAUGCCGCGUGGGUGAAGAAGGCCCUAGGGUUGUAAACCCCUUUCAGCGGGGAAGAUAAUGACGGUACCCGCAGAAGAAGCCCCGGCUAACUCCGUGCCAGCAGCUGCGGUAAUACGGAGGGGGCUAGCGUUGUUCGGAAUUACUGGGCGUAAAGCGCGCGUAGGCGGACUGUUAAGUUAGAGGUGAAAUCCCGGGGCUCAACCCCGGAACUGCCUUUAAUACUGGCAGCCUAGAGUUCGAGAGAGGUGAGUGGAAUUCCGAGUGUAGAGGUGAAAUUCGUAGAUAUUCGGAGGAACACCAGUGGCGAAGGCGGCUCACUGGCUCGAUACUGACGCUGAGGUGCGAAAGCGUGGGGAGCAAACAGGAUUAGAUACCCCCGUAGUCC
rnacentral:rRNA from 1 species